CUGGGGUGGAGAUGUUUCAGAAGAUUCUUGAUGAGGCUUUGGCUGGUGACAAUGUGGGACUGUUGCUUAGAGGGAUUCAAAAGGCUGAUAUUCAGAGGGGGAUGGUGUUGGCUAAGCCUGGGAGUAUUACUCCGCAUACUAAGUUUGAGGCGAUUGUGUAUGUGUUGAAGAAGGAAGAAGGUGGGAGGCAUUCUCCGUUUUUCGCGGGGUAUAGGCCUCAGUUUUACAUGAGGACGACUGAUGUGACGGGGAAAGUGACGAAGAUUAUGAAUGAUAAAGAUGAGGAGUCGAAGAUGGUUAUGCCUGGGGAUAGGGUGAAGAUUGUUGUGGAGCUCAUUGUGCCGGUUGCUUGUGAGCAAGGGAUGAGGUUUGCUAUUAGAGAAGGUGG
rnacentral:lncRNA from 1 species